rnacentral:sRNA from 1 species
AGAAGCAGCGGGGAGGCCGGGAGCCCGCGGGCCGGAGCCGCCCGGCCCGAGCGUGGGGGCUGCGGGGCCGGCCCACCCGUGGGGACGACUUGAGCGUUGAGGGCGCGCGGGGAGGCGAGCCACCAUGUUCAGCCAGCAGCAGCAGCAGCAGCUCCAGAGAGCUUUGCUUUUACAGCAGUUGCAAGGACUGGACCAGUUUGCAAUGCCACCAGCCACGUAUGACACUGCCGGUCUCACCAUGCCCACGGCAACACUGGGUAACCUCCGAGGCUACAGCAUGGCAUCCCCAGGCCUCACAGCCCCCAGCCUGACAGCCCCCAGCCUCACACCCCCACAACUGGCCACUCCAAAUUUGCAACAGUUCUUUCCCCAGGCCACUCGCCAGUCCUUGCUGGGACCUCCUCCUGUUGGGGUCCCCAUGAACCCUUCCCAGUUCAACCUUUCAGGACGGAACCCCCAGAAACAGGCCCGGACCUCCUCCUCUACCACCCCCAAUCGAAAGGAUUCUUCUUCUCAGACAAUGCCUGUGGAAGACAAGUCAGACCCCCCAGAGGGGUCUGAGGAAGCCGCAGAGCCCCGGAUGGACACACCAGAAGACCAAGAUUUACCGCCCUGCCCAGAGGACAUUGCCAAGGAAAAACGCACUCCAGCACCUGAGCCUGAGCCUUGUGAGGUGUCCGAGCUGCCAGCAAAGAGAUUGAGGAGCUCAGAAGAGCCCACAGAAAAGGAACCUCCAGGGCAGCUACAGGACACAGGACCACAAGAUUGCCAAACAAUCCUUGCGACCCUUCUGCACCGUUUGCAACCGCUACUUCAAAACCCCUCGCAAGUUUGUGGAGCAUGUGAAGUCCCAGGGGCAUAAGGACAAAGCCAAGGAGCUGAAGUCGCUUGAGAAAGAGAUUGCUGGCCAAGAUGAGGACCACUUCAUUACAGUGGACGCUGUGGGUUGCUUCGAGGGUGAUGAAGAAGAGGAAGAGGAUGAUGAGGAUGAAGAAGAGAUCGAGGUUGAGGAGGAACUCUGCAAGCAGGUGAGGUCCAGAGAUAUAUCCAGAGAGGAGUGGAAGGGCUCGGAGACCUACAGCCCCAAUACUGCAUAUGGUGUGGACUUCCUGGUGCCCGUGAUGGGCUACAUCUGCCGCAUCUGCCACAAGUUCUAUCACAGCAACUCAGGGGCACAGCUCUCCCACUGCAAGUCCCUGGGCCACUUUGAGAACCUGCAG